UGCUUCUGCCUCCAUUUUGUAUUUAUCGUUGGAAAUCUAUUUGGAGGGCAGAAUUUUUUUGGAUUUAGUUUACUCGGUUUUCUACGAAAUAGCUCUCCUAUUUACAGACAAUUGUGCAGAGAAAUAUUACUUGAAUGUGCAACAUGAUCCUCAUAAUUAAGAGCUUCUACUUGUAUGGUAUUUCGAUGAGAAUCUCUCCAUUGUUCUCUACUUCAAAUAUCAAAUU